CCCAGAUGCUUGAAUCUCCCCAGCUCAGGCACUACGCAUGGGAGGAGGAAGCCUUCUGAUGAUUCCAGCCCCAGCCACCACCUAACUAAAACUACAUGAGAAGACUGCAAGCAAAACCUCCAAAACCAUGAGAGCCAGCUCUUCCAGCACAGGUGAGCAGUAACUCACUCCUGAGCAGCAGUGAGGACUCAAACCCAGAGACACAGAGACACAGAGACACAGAGACACAGAGAGGACAGUGCUGCCCAUACCACUUCAAAAACGGCAAUUUAUCUGGCAAUCUUUCCAUGUGCGUCUGAACCCAGACUGUGCUCUCUUCCCUUCCUAGAUUCCAAAGCCUCAAUUCUCUGAACACAGCAGCUGAGUUGGUCAAGUCACAGACUGCCAACCAAGGUCACUGCCAUUGCCAAGUUCACCUCAGCUGUCCCAGGUAUUUUCCUCUGGCAUUCAAGUACCACGCUUCUUUAUAGAUGCUGGGGACACUUAUUACUGCUCUGCUGAUACUAGAUGUCUGCCCAAAACAUGGAGCAAGGGAACAUCGCUCCACAUUUCUCAGCAGAACAAACCAGACAAACCAACCAUUCGGAAACAAACUCUGCUUGGCUUACAAGGUUGUUACAACCAAGCCCUGUGCAUCUGAGAGCAAGAUUCCAGGCUCCAAGUUAUGAGAACCAAGUCAAAUGCUUUCUAGAAUCCAGC